UACAGAGGUCUCAAGCGUUGUUCGGAUUCAUUGGGCGUAAAGGGGUGCGUAGGCGGCGCGGUAAGUCGGGUGUGAAAUCUCGGGGCUUAACUCCGAAACUGCAUUCGAUACUGCCGUGCUUGAGGACUGGAGAGGAGACUGGAAUUUACGGUGUAGCGGUGAAAUGCGUAGAUAUCGUAAGGAAGACCAGUGGCGAAGGCGGGUCUCUGGACAGUUCCUGACGCUGAGGCACGAAGGUCAGGGGGAGCAAAACGGGG
rnacentral:rRNA from 1 species